CCAAAUGUGUCCUAAGCGAUCAAUUCCUAAUCCAAUACAGUGCAUCCUGGGUAUGUUUGCAUCUGGAUUUUUUUUAAAGCUCACCUUCCGUCGUUUUUUCUUUCAUUUUAAAAUGUCUAGUUGUGGUCUCUAGUAUGAAUGAAUGACAUGUGAGCCGUUUUUGUAAAAAAAAAGUGCUCAGGUGUCUCUGUAUAGCUCUUUUUUAAUGGACUGUUUUAGGGGUGUGUCCAAAAUGACCGGAUUCCAGCUUUGCUCAUGAAUAUUCAUACAUGCAAACAGCAUGCAAAUAUCUCUCCUCUGAUUGGCUAGGAGCACUGCGACGCCCCUCCACCGCUCUGCCGCUCACUGCCUCCCACCUCCUAACUGAUGAGCGGUGAUGUUGCGUCGCUUCAGCUCCGCCUCUGGGAGUUUCUGGAGCCAAGGUGGGCUGGUCUGUGAGUUUCUGCCUACGUAGGCAGAAAGAUAAUUCAAAAUUCACCCGUUUUUCGGAGGGGGGGAGGGGGGAUUUCUUUGCUUAGCUCCUGCAGACAAUGGGGGCUGCAAAACAGUUUAAUGUGCAGGUGUACACAUUCAACUCGGAGAGACCUACUGUAUUCCACAAAAAACAAGAAAAAUCGGAUUUUCGCGGAAGGUGAGCUUUAA